AGGGUGCACUUGAGUAUGCAAAAGCGAUGGAAGAACUAAAUCAAGUUGUGACAAGAAUAGUAUUUGAAAACUACGGUGUAGAGAAGUAUCAUGAUGCUCACGUUCAAUCAACUUCUUACCAUCUCCGAUUCAAUAAAUACAAAAAUCCCAAGAAAACUGGGGAUGUGGGGUUAACCCCUCAUACGGACAAUAGCUUCUCCACCAUACUUCAUCAAAACCAGGUCUGUGGUCUGGAGAUGUAUACAAAGGAUGGUGACUGGAUAGUCUUUGAUCCACUGCCGUCAUCCGUUAUAUACCUAGAAGGAGAUGUAUUUCAGAUUUGGAGCAAUGAUAAAAUACGACCUUGUAGACAUAAAGUUUCGUUGACGACGAUGGGGUAAGAUUCUCGGUUAGGCAAUUCACAUUAAUGAAAGACGUGGUGAGCAUACCACACGAACUCGUGGACGAGGAUCACCCUCGACUGUACAAGCCACUGGAUCAUGUAGAAUUUUUCAAAGAAGUACUUGACGGUAAGGCUGACCCUACAGUCCAGGAAUACUGUCGCAUUUGAGUUCUUUGGUCCAAGGUCCAAGCGGCUGGUUCCUCUUUUGCCCUUUAUUUUCUACUGUCAUGUAUUUUCUUUUCUUUUAUUGUUUCUUCCUUUUAGAUUGCUAUCGUUAAAUAAGAUGUUUUCUUGUUAGAGACCAUGUAACUCAAUUUGUUAAGAACCCUCCCACGCCUGAGGUCUUGAACGACCCCUCCUACACUGUCGCUUGUAUUAAAGAAAAAAGAAAGUAGAUGUUUUCUCAAUAAAGUAUUGUCGCAUUUGAAAUGA